UACGUAGGGUGCGAAGCGUUAAUCGGAAUUACUGGGCGUAAAGCGUGCGCAGGCGGCGCGUUAAGACAGGUGUGAAAGCCCCGAGCUUAACUUGGGAAUUGCGCUUGUGACUGGCGUGCUGGAGUGUGGCAGAGGGGAGAUCGGAAUUCCUGGUGUAGCGGUGAAAUGCGCAGAUAUCAGGAGGAACACCGGUGGCGAAGGCGGAUCUCUGGGCCUUAACCUGACGCUGAGGCGCGAAAGCUAGGGGAGCGAACAGGA
rnacentral:rRNA from 1 species